UAACUAACAUUUACAAUCAGUAAAACUAUCCUUCCUAAUGUGGGUGGGUUUCAUCCAAUCAGUUAAAGACGUUAGGAGCAAAGAGUGAGGUUUCCCAAAAAAGCAGCAGUUCUACCUCAAGACUGCAACAGAGAACGCCUGCUUGAGUUUUCAGCCUGCUGACCUGCCCUGUAGAUUUUGGACUCAAGGCUGCACAUCAACUCUUACCUGGAUUUCCAGCUGGAUUGGCCUACAAAUGUCAGACUCAUCAGCCCCCACAAUUGUAUAAAAAUCUGAGAUAACUUUUCAUCUACUCUCUGAAAUAAGAUUUCAUCAGAGGUCAUGAGACUGCCCAAGUGGAAAGAUGAACACAGUCCUGUUCUUAAUGAUGCUAAGUGAGUUACUGCUUCACUGCCUUGAGUGACAAAGGAGACAAAUGAUUGGUCCAGUUGAAGAUGAUGUUUACACUGCAGAUCUGCUUCCUUUUGAAGUUCCCUUUCCAGCGCAUGUUCUCAUGUGAACCCAAAAGGAUUAGGAUUGCUGCCCAGAGGACAAGGUGAAAGGGCAAUGUGCUUCUCUGAUCUUCCUGGCAUUACCUCACGCUGCUCCUGGUAUGGGGCCUGGCAAGAAGCAGGCAUUCAGCAAAUGUUUUCUGAUUA